GCGUGGAAUCCCGGAGUUGCCUUUUGCGUCGACGCAAAACCAGUCGCCGGGCGCCUCGCUCUAAAUUAACGCACGGGAACGGGACGAUUCUUGGAGGAAGCGGGUGGCUCGCAACUGCGGGGGUCGCAGAGGAUUUUCUUCCCGCAACUGCAGCCCAGUAAUCACGGGGAUAUCAGCACAAACGAAUCCGUUUUGGCAGGUAUAGAAACAAGCCGUAAUCUAUUUUGGCAAGUACAGAUUGCGGUAAUUAAGCAAAAAAGCACGGAGAAAUUUGCUAUCCGCAAGCAUACUUAACUCCUUUUGGCAGGCGGAUUUUGAUUGCCGCCCGUAACUAUAGCAGACUUAGCACUGAGGAAGGACACGGCGGGGCAGAGAAGGAGAAAUAGGAGAGGCGGCCGACCACCUGCUUUAGCUCCUCUUCUUCCCCAUGAACUUAACCAUCAUCAGCCUCCGCCCCCGCCCCGAGGCGCCUGGUCAGAGAUGGGUUUGCGGUGGUGGGUGCAGCCUGCAGCGGCGUGGUGGUGGGCGCAGCAGACGAGUGUCGCCGGAGUUGCAGCGGUGGUAUCAGCCUGAUCGAGAGAGGUAGAGCUGAAGAAGAUUCAAGCCGCUGGCUCGGCACGCAACGAAGCAGGCGGCGAUUGCUUCUCAGGGCUUCGCGGUACAGAAAAUGCUUCUUGCGGUCUUGCCGAAGCGACGUCGUGUCGAAGAGGACUAUCAGGUUAUGGAUCAAAGUGAACGCAGUCCACACACACGUUCGUUCUAAACGAUAACACUCUUCACACCUGAGCGGUGCUGAAACGAAGCAGCGCAUGCCGUCCAUGUUUGUCUGAGCAAUCGACCAAACCGAUCUCUGUCUCUCAGACAGCGGAGGAGAUCGUGUAUGCAAAUGCAAACGACCACAAUCACGCCCACAGUUAUCAUGAUUAUAUGGAAGGCUACAGAGGAGCAGAUACACAAGAUACUCAUAUUAUCUGGCAAAGCAUGAACAGGAUCGUAGGACAUGAAAAAUGGGAACACAAUCAUCAACCUCAAUAGCUAGAACAUUGUCCAUACUAUUAUCCAUAAAAGGCAGCGCCAUGUCACUGCUAAACAUUACAAGAACAAUAAUACAUAGCAGUUGGUUACAGCAGAUCACUCAAAUCUUCCUGGGGUUUGCCAAUAUACAGAGAUAUCAUUGCCCAUC